GCACGAGUGGCUCAGUUGGUAGAGCAUCUCCUUGCCAAGGAGAGGGUCGCGGGUUCGAGUCCCGUCUCGCGCU
rnacentral:tRNA from 2 species